ACUGGAAGUGGGUCUGGAUUAUCGGGGUUUAAUGUAAUAUUAUUUUCAUUUACGUUGAAAAGUUUUUUGUGUGAUUCAAAAUGUCCUGAUUAUUAUUAUAUAAUUUUAUUUUUUGUUUAUUUAUGUUUCUAUUAAAGUUAUUUUUAUUUAUUAUGUUUGAGUAUUUUUUUUUGAAAUGAUUUUAUUUAUUAUAGUUUAUUUUUAAUGUAAAUGGGGUUUUUUAUUAUUAUAUAAGAAUUUUUAUAUAUUUUACCUUUUGUAUCAGGGUUGAUUAAAUAUUAGUUUUAGAUUAAUAUUUCUCGAAUUGGGGGGAUUUACAAUAUUAUGAUUUUUUAUGUUUCAUAAUGAUUAUGAAUUUUAUGGUGGUAGUGACAUGCUAGUCGUUCUUUAAUAUAUCUAGUUUUCUGAGAUAAAAUUAAAUUUUAAUGGGAUUUUAAACUUUAUUUAUUUUUGUUUUGUUUUUAAUUUUUAUUUAUAUUUUAGGGGUUAAGCUCUAGAUUUUAUUAUAAUUUUAUUUAUAGGUAUUUUUGUAUAGGCUUGUAAUCAGCCAUUAUUUAAAUGGCGUUUUAGUUUAAUUGAUUUUUUAAUUAUUUAAUGAUGAUUUAAGUUUCUUAUUGGAGUUUGGGUUUUAAUGUUAAUUAUUCACGAAUAAUGAUUAAAUUAGUAUAUUAUUUUUGUUUUAAAUAAAUUUUAUUUUAUUUUGUUAAAAGGAAUUCGGCAAUUUUUUAGUGUUUCCGCCUGUUUAUCAAAAACAUCUCUUAUAGCUUUUAUUUUAAGUUUGGCCUGCUCACUGAUUUUUGAAGAGCCGCGGUAUAUUGACUGUGCAAAGGUAGCAUAAUCAUUAGUGCAUUAAUUGUGUACUGGAAUGAAAGGUUUGACGAGAGACAUUCUGUCUCUUUUUAAUUUAUAUAAUUUUACUUUACAGUAAAAAGGCUUUAAUUGUUUUUUGUGACGAUAAGACCCUAUAGAGUUUAACUUUAAUGUAUUUUUGUAUUUUGGGGUUUUUUUAUUAUACUUUACUUAUUAUAAGUUUUGUUGGGGUGAUGUGAGUAAUAAUUAAACUGCUUAUUUUUGUUUUUCAUUGAUUUAUGUUUUUCUUGAUCUUGUAUUAUUGACAAUAAGAUAAAAUUACCUUAGGGAUAACAGCGCAAUUAUCUUUAAGAGUUCAUAUUGACAGGAUAGAUUGUGACCUCGAUGUUGGAUUAAGAUUAGUAAUUGGGUGCAGAUGCUUAAUUUAAUUGGUC
rnacentral:rRNA from 1 species